GCCGACUUAGCUCAGUUGGUAGAGCAUCGGUAUCGUAAACCGAGGGUCGUAGGUUCGAAUCCUAUAGUCGGCA
rnacentral:tRNA from 2 species